rnacentral:rRNA from 1 species
AUUGAACGCUGGCGGCAGGCUUAACACAUGCAAGUCGAGCGGGGUGAUGGUGCUUGCACUAUCACUUAGCGGCGGACGGGUGAGUAAUGCUUAGGAAUCUGCCUAUUAGUGGGGACAACAUCUCGAAAGGGAUGCUAAUACCGCAUACGUCCUACGGGAGAAAGCAGGGGAUCACUUGUGACCUUGCGCUAAUAGAUGAGCCUAAGUCGGAUUAGCUAGUUGGUGGGGUAAAGGCCUACCAAGGCGACGAUCUGUAGCGGGUCUGAGAGGAUGAUCCGCCACACUGGGACUGAGACACGGCCCAGACUCCUACGGGAGGUAGCAGUGGGGAAUAUUGGACAAUGGGGGGAACCCUGAUCCAGCCAUGCCGCGUGUGUGAAGAAGGCCUUAUGGUUGUAAAGCACUUUAAGCGAGGAGGAGGCUCUUUUGGUUAAUACCCAAGAUGAGUGGACGUUACUCGCAGAAUAAGCACCGGCUAACUCUGUGCCAGCCGCCGCUGUAA